GAAAGCAGGUGAAUAUUGAGUCACUUUGAUUGCUUGUGCCCGUGUUUGGGUGAAUAAAAGUGAGGUGGGCCAAAGGCUGUGAAAGAAAUUUCAUUCUGUCUCAGUCCUGGGCAGGACAUGAACCGUUCCUUUUGUCCAGCAUAUUCAUGCUGUGUACACUACCUGCCUCAGUUGUCAGAUUGACUAUGGCAGUAUUGCAGUGCUGUAUUCAUUACCCCUAAUAUAGAAGUUCAAUUCUACAUUACAGUACUUGUUCAGUUUUCUCCAUGUCAUCAUGUAGACACUGUAUCAUCAUGUCUCAUCAUAAGGCUUUUCUCCAUGACAAGAGACCCUGGAGCUGCAGUGAUAUUUUAAUAUCUGGAGCAGGAGUGUCCUCGGUGCCUAGGACAGAGGUGCAGCUCUGUUGGCUUGUGUUGCCUUCACUGGACUAGAGAAAGAAGUGGGGUACAUAAACCAUCGCUUCAUGGCUGUUGCAGUUAGAUGCUUUCUCACACCGAGAGGGAAAAGAACGGGAGCACCUCACAGACUCCAUAGAGCACCUGCCCUGCUAACUUGGAUGUGACAAGGGAAGGUGACCACUUUGCUGUAUGAGUCUGGGCUGUGAUUUGGUCAUUUGCUGCUAUGUCUGAAAAAGCAAUGAGCCCCAUGGAGCCCCUUAUCC
rnacentral:lncRNA from 1 species